UUUUAUUAUGGCUCAGGAUGAACGCUAGCUACAGGCUUAACCCCUGCAAGUCGAGGGGCAUCAGUUUGGUUUGCUUGCAAACCAAAGCUGGCGACCGGCGCACGGGUGAGUAACACGUAUCCCACCUGCCUCAUACUCGGGGAUAGCCUUUCGAAAGAAAGAUUAAUAUCCGAUAGCAUAUAUUUCCCGCAUGGGUUUUAUAUUAAAGAAAUUCGGUAUGAGAUGGGGAUGCGUUCCAUUAGUUUGUUGGGGGGGUAACGGCCCACCAAGACUACGAUGGAUAGGGGUUCUGAGAGGAAGGUCCCCCACAUUGGAACUGAGACACGGUCCAAACUCCUACGGGAGGCAGCAGUGAGGAAUAUUGGUCAAUGGACGCGAGUCUGAACCAGCCAAGUAGCGGGAAGGAUGACUGCCCUAUGGGUUGUAAACUUCUUUUAUAUGGGAAUAAAGUUGUCCACGUGUGGAUUUUUGUAUGAACCAUAUGAAUAAGGAUCGGUUAACUCCGUGCCAGCAGCCGCGGUAAUACGGAGGAUCCGAGCGUUAUCCGGAUUUAUUGGGUUUAAAGGGAGCGUAGAUGGAUGUUUAAGUCAGUUGUGAAAGUUUGCGGCUCAACCGUAAAAUUGCAGUUGAUACUGGAUAUCUUGAGUGCAGUUGAGGCAGGCGGAAUUCGUGGUGUAGCGGUGAAAUGCUUAGAUAUCACGAAGAACUCCGAUUGCGAAGGCAGCCUGCUAAGCUGCAACUGACAUUGAGGCUCGAAAGUGUGGGUAUCAAACAGGAUUAGAUACCCUGGUAGUCCACACGGUAAA
rnacentral:rRNA from 1 species